rnacentral:sRNA from 1 species
GAGAGUGGCCCCUGGACCCAGCUGGGUGGAGAUGGAGAGGUCACAAGCUCUGGUGCCUCAAAAUGGCUCUGGUCCUCAGAUAUAGUUGGUUGCCACCCUGGGAGUGAGAGGAACCAGGAAAGCAGGUUUUGUACAUCAGGAAGAAGAAGAGGCUGGAGAAGCUACGCCACCAGCUCAUGCCCAUGUACAACUUCGACCCCACGGAGGAACAAGAUGAGUUGGAGCAGGAGCUGCUGGAGCAUGGGCGGGACGCCGCCUCCGUACAGGCUGCUACUUCUGUGCAGGCCAUGCAGGGCAAGACUACUCUGCCCUCCCAGGGCCCACUGCAGAGGCCCAGCCGGCUGGUGUUUACCGAUGUGGCCAAUGCCAUCCAUGCGUGAGUGGCCUGGGACAAGCCUGGACUUCUGAUAGAGACCCGCCACGGUGCCCACGGAGCUCCCCACUCCCUGAUUGUCAAGACCUACUCUGAAGAUCUGCCCUGCCAAGACACGAGAGGGCUGAGCCAGGCCCCAGCUGUUCUCCAGAUCCACCUGCUGACUCUAGACUCUAAGAGAGGGCCCUAGCCAGGCUGGACUUCUGACCA